ensembl:lncRNA
GUACGGGCAAAGGGCGUUUGAAAAUCUUGUACAUCCUGAACAUUUAAUUCUAAAGUUCCCCCUGGGGGGGAUGGCCUCUGUGAGCUUGACUAAAUCAAAAUGUUCUGGUUCAAGAAGGAAGAGAUACGUGGGGGAGGGGCCACAAACCAGGCUUCUGGAAAGCUCCUGGGAUUGUCUUCAGGGACCAAACCAGCUGAGGCUUUCUGUCACAGUUCCAGAAUGAAUAACUCACACAACUAAUUAAGGGUAGUCUCGAAUAAUUAACAUCUGUGCAACCAGACAAUUUUGCCUCCGGACCAUUGAGAAGCAAAUCCAAAAGUGAAUGAGCCCUGGGUGCCUCAGGGAGAAAUGCACCCUCCUUUGUACCCCACCACAGACGGUUCUGAGAGGCUUUUCAGGAGGCUCUUCAGAAGGUCCCAGCGGACCUUGCACUGUCACCAGGAGUGGCGGCUUUACAUUCUGUGUCCCACCUUCCAUGUAUCACUCCUCGUCUCUCACUCCCGCUCCCCGGGGGUCACUUCCCACCUUAACUACUCGUGCGUGCACAUGCGCAUGCGCAAAAACGUGCACACGCACGCGCUCGCGCGCGCGCACACAGACGCACGGGGUGAAUGGCGUGGUUUGGUACACCAAUGGUGCUUGCGAGGAGUGAGUUUUAUAUUCGUUGGACGACAUCUGGGUCUUCCUACGUGAGGAUUGUGGAAUUACACUCAAGUAUCACGAGACGUAGACAAGGCUGGGAUGAAGCUACAUGAACCCACGGUGGUUUCCUCAACAUUGCCCAAUCCAACCAGUCCAUUGUGAAGGAGAUCAGCCCUGGGAUUUCUUUGGAAGAAAUGAUGCUAAAGCUGAAACUCCAGUACUUUGGCCACCUCAUGCGAAGAGUUGACUCAUUGGAAACUGGGAGGGAUUGGGGGCAGGAGGAGAAGGGGACAACAGAGGAUGAGAUGGCUGGAUGGCAUCACCGACUCGAUGGACGUGAGUCUGAGUGAACUCCGGGAGUUGGGAUUGGACAGGGAGGCCUGGCAUGCUGAGAUUCAUGGGGUCGCUCGCAAAGAGUUGGACACGACUGAGUGAGUGAACUGAACUGAAAUCUGAUUAAUUG